GAGUUUGAUCCUGGCUCAGAUUGAACGCUGGCGGCAUGCCUUACACAUGCAAGUCGAACGGUAACAGGUCUUCGGACGCUGACGAGUGGCGAACGGGUGAGUAAUACAUCGGAACGUGCCCAGUCGUGGGGGAUAACUACUCAAAAGAGUAGCUAAUACCGCAUACGAUCUGAGGAUGAAAGCGGGGGACCUUCGGGCCUCGCGCGAUUGGAGCGGCCGAUGGCAGAUUAGGUAGUUGGUGGGAUAAAAGCUUACCAAGCCGACGAUCUGUAGCUGGUCUGAGAGGACGACCAGCCACACUGGGACUGAGACACGGCCCAGACUCCUACGGGAGGCAGCAGUGGGGAAUUUUGGACAAUGGGCGAAAGCCUGAUCCAGCAAUGCCGCGUGCAGGAUGAAGGCCUUCGGGUUGUAAACUGCUUUUGUACGGAACGAAAAAGCUUCUCCUAAUACGAGAGGCCCAUGACGGUACCGUAAGAAUAAGCACCGGCUAACUACGUGCCAGCAGCCGCGGUAAUACGUAGGGUGCGAGCGUUAAUCGGAAUUACUGGGCGUAAAGCGUGCGCAGGCGGUUAUGUAAGACAGAUGUGAAAUCCCCGGGCUCAACCUGGGAACUGCAUUUGUGACUGCAUGGCUAGAGUACGGUAGAGGGGGAUGGAAUUCCGCGUGUAGCAGUGAAAUGCGUAGAUAUGCGGAGGAACACCGAUGGCGAAGGCAAUCCCCUGGACCUGUACUGACGCUCAUGCA
rnacentral:rRNA from 1 species